AACUUGAUGACAUGGGCAUUUAUGGAGCAAGUCCUGAAAGCGCUCCCAGGUCUCAAAGAAAGAUUCCCCAUCCAUUUGUUCGAAACUUGUGAUUGCCCUUUGUAGCU